rnacentral:rRNA from 1 species
GACGAACGCUGGCGGCGUGCUUAACACAUGCAAGUCGAACGGAAAGGCCCUGCUCUUGUGGCGUGCUCGUGUGGCGAACGCGUGAGUAACACGCGAGUAACCCGCCCUUGACUUUGGGAUAACUUUAGGAAACUGGGGCUAUUACCGGAUAGAAUCUCCUGCUGCACGGUGGGGGUUGGAAAGUUUCGGCGGUUGGGGAUGGGCUGGCGGCUUAUGCGCUUCUUGGUCGGGUAGUGGAAUACCAAGGCUUUGACGGGUAGCCGGCCUGGGAGGGUGACCGGCCACCUGAGUACUGAGAGACGGCGCAGAAUCCAACGGGAGGCAAUAGGGGAGAGUAUGGCGGAAUAAGCGGGAGCCUGAGGCAGCAACGCCGCGAGCGGGAUAACGGGCUUCGAGUUGUAAACAGCUUUCGAAUGUGACGAAGCGUGAGUGACGGUAAUGGGUAAAGAAGCACCGGCUAACUACGUG